UUUACACAAGAAAAAAACGAAGUACCACAUCCACACGUUUACCUUAUCCCCUAGGGCGUGUAAAACCUAGCGCCGCCACCAGAUCCGAUCGUGUUGCCUCUCUUUGGCGAACUUCUCCUUUGGCUUCCUAGGGCGUGUAAAAAUGCUUCUCUCGAGACCCAUGUGACGGCGUACGAUUCCAAGGAUCCAUCCAGCUGCUGCGUAAACGUUGAAUUUGGUCAGUUCCUUGCCGUUGUAGUAGAUUAAUUAUUCAUUCCUACUGUACUCGAUAAACUGUUCUCCGCGGCUGGGAUCGAUCAAGUGUUCCUUGCCGCUGGACUAUCGUUCCUCUCUGCAAUUAGGUACCUAUUCCGUCUCUGCCCUCUAAGAUUUCAGAAACAUUUCUUUGUUUGCACCCUUGUAUUUGCAUACAGGUAAUGGAUUCCAAGGAUCCAUCCGGUUGUUGGGUCAGUGUUGAAUUUGGUCAGUUCCUUACCGUUGUACUAUAUUAAUUUUUCAUUGCUACUGUGCUCGAUAAACUACUGUUCGUGGCUGGGAUCGAUCAAGUGUUCUUUGCCGCUGGGCUAUGGUUCCUCUCUGCAAUUAGGUAAUGGAUAUCGUUGCAGUUUUAGCACUGCCAAACCUUGGAGCUGCUAUUCACAGCGGAGGGCAUCGACUAACAGAAAGUAGCUUCUAGUUUUGAGUUAUUUAUAAAUACGCUAAGCUUCCUCGGUUUGGAACAUGUUUAUUUGUGUACGAGGGUCAGAUUUGCUGAACUCAUCUAGUACAUGUGUAUCGGACGGUAACUCUUGGAAAAAAAUUUGCAGCUUCACAAGUUGUUCCUCUGCAGGUAUUACUGCGCCAAUAUUUUUCAAGCGGCGCAACAUCGAGAGCAAAUAAAGUCUGCAGAAGAAGUGAACUAGAGAGCAUCGAAUCUAACAGAUAAAUUCAUAUUACUUAGGAAACUACAUACACAAAUUAUAGGAACUUGUUUAUUCGUGUAUGCCAAUAUUUGUAAGGAUGUACUUUUCACUUGCAGUAUGACAAUUACCAUCAGAUAAUAUAAUUGAUGUUGUUUGCGGCACAA